rnacentral:misc_RNA from 1 species
CCAGUCGUCGUCGUUGCUCUCGCUCUUGUCCGAGCGUCGGCGUCCGUCGGCGUCGCCACCGCCUGGCCACGUCGUGUGCGCCAUGAUCCAGGCCAGCAGCUCCUCCACGUUCCGGACCAUCUUGUCGUCCUCCUGGCCGCGGGCCUGCAGGUACCUCCCACGUCGCUGAGGACGAGCUCAGCGUCGGCGAGCCAGCUGGCCUGUUGCUCCAUGAGGCAGAGAGGGCCUUUCCAAAACAAAACAUACAGUAUAUUGUGCAAUUCAUUAUUAGUUAGUAGUACUACUACAUAUGAACCAUUCUUAUUUUUUUGAAUUAUUUUAUGAAAUUUUUA